rnacentral:rRNA from 1 species
GGAUGAGUGAGGAAGUUUUUAGAGUAGAGGUAAGCGAGCGUGUCUUAUAAGAUGUUAAUUUUUAUAAUGUAAAGUGGUAAAAUUCAUUAAUUGAUGGUGAAAUUAUCAGGUGUGGGGGUGCCGUGAGUCUUUAAAAGUUAGGGGAUAAAGUAGGAUUAGAUACCCUGUUAUACCUUAUUAAAUUUGGUUCUCUGGGGUAGUAAAUAGAUAUAGGCUUGAAAUUCAAAGGAUUUGGCGGUAUCUAAGUCCAGUCAGAGGAACUUGUGCUUUAAACGAUAAACCACGAUUAUCUGACUUCGUUUUGUACGUUCAGUAUGUAUACCGCCAUUAUUAGAUAGUUCCAACAGGAGCCUAUCCUGAGAAAGAAAUCUUUAGUAUAUUAGGUCAAGGUGCAGCUAAUAAUGAAGCUAGACAUGGGUUACAAUUUUGUAAAAAAUAUGGAUUGGAUAUUGAAGGGAAUAUUUGUGAAGGUGGAUUUGAUUGUAAUUCGGGUAUAUUAAGCCUUAAUGGUAAAGGCUCUUGGAUAUGUACACAUCGCCCGUCGUUCUCGCUUU